ACAGCAGCAGCCACGGUAAUACGGAGGAUCCAAGCGUUAUCCGGAAUCAUUGGGUUUAAAGGGUCCGUAGGCGGUCUUGUAAGUCAGUGGUGAAAGCCCAUCGCUCAACGGUGGAACGGCCAUUGAUACUGCAGGACUUGAAUUAUUGGGAAGUAACUAGAAUAUGUAGUGUAGCGGUGAAAUGCUUAGAGAUUACAUGGAAUACCAAUUGCGAAGGCAGGUUACUACCAAUUGAUUGACGCUGAUGGACGAAAGCGUGGGUAGCGAACAGGAUUAGAUACCCGUGUAGUCCCUGUCUCUUAUAC
rnacentral:rRNA from 1 species